CGGAGCGAGGUGCUAAUCCGGUUGCCCACACAAAUACGACCGACGGCCGUCACCAUACAGCACGCCUCAAAGAUAGCCUCUCCGCCGGGGACUGUCAGUAGUGCCCCCAGAGACUUCACUGUCUCCGGACUGGAUGAGGAAGGCGAGGACGAAACUCUGCUCGGGACAUUCACCUAUGCCGUGCAGAAAGAGUCGACCCAGACCUUCCCUCUGCAGAAUGGCGACUCCAGAGCCUUCCGGUUUUUGAAGCUUGUCAUAGAGAGCAACUGGGGAAAACCAGGAUACACCUGC